rnacentral:rRNA from 1 species
CGACCGGCGCACGGGUGAGUAACACGUAUCCAACCUGCCGAUGACUCGGGGAUAGCCUUUCGAAAGAAAGAUUAAUACCCGAUGGCAUAGUUCUUCCGCAUGGUGGAACUAUUAAAGAAUUUCGGUCAUCGAUGGGGAUGCGUUCCAUUAGGUUGUUGGCGGGGUAACGGCCCACCAAGCCUUCGAUGGAUAGGGGUUCUGAGAGGAAGGUCCCCCACAUUGGAACUGAGACACGGUCCAAACUCCUACGGGAGGCAGCAUG